rnacentral:rRNA from 1 species
ACGAGCGGCGGACGGGUGAGUAUUGCUGGAACUGCUGAUGGAGGGGGAUACUACUGAAACGGUAGCUAAUACCGAUAAUGUCUUCGGACCAAAGCGGGGGACCUUCGGGCCUCGCGCAUCAGAUGAACCCAUAUGGGAUUAGCUUGUAGUGAGGUAACGGCUCACCUAGCGACGAUCCCUAGCUGGUCUGAGAGGAUGAUCAGCCAUACUGGGACUGAGACACGGCCCAGACUCCUACGGGAGGCAGCAGUGGGGAAUAUUGCACAAUGGGCGCAAGCCUGAUGCAGCCAUGCCGCGUGUAUGAAGAAGGCCUUCGGGUUGUAAAGUACUUUCAGUCGGGAGGAAGGUGGUAAGGUUAAUACCUUAUCAAUUGACGUUACCGACAGAAAAAGCACCGGCUACUCGUGCCACACCGCGUAUACGGAGGUGCACGUAUCGAAAUUACUGGGCGUAACGCACGCAGGGGUGAUUGAUCAAUUUGAAUCCCNGGCUUACCCGGGAAUUGCUUCUGAUACUGGUCAGUAAAAGUUCUGUAAAGGGGGAUAAAUUCCAUGGUGUACGGUGAAUGGGUAAAAUGUGGAGGAAUCCGGUGGAAGGCGG